AUGAAGACGUCUGUAAAAAUGUAUUUCUGGCUACCAAGGAGAAAACAGCUGAGGCUUCACAGCGACAUCACCACCCCCACCCCCACUCCCACCCCCACCCCCACCCCCAUCCCCAUCCCCACCCCCACCCCCAUCCCCAUCAUGGGCAUCAGCUUCAUGAAAAUGCUCAUCUUUCAGAGUCUCCAAAACCAGACACACCAGAUACCCCUGAGAAUCCCCCUCCUUCAGGUCUUCAUCACCACCACCACAGGCACAAGGUUUCCCAAAGAUUCAGAAUCUGCUUUGAGUAGCUGCUGUUGCCACUGUCGACAUCUGGUAUUUGAAAAAACAGGGUCUGCAAUCACCUGACAGUGUACAGAAAAGCUCCCCUCUUUGUGUAGCUGACAGGGCCUUUUGGCGGAGGAGAAUGUCAUUGAAUCUUGACAGUGACGUUUGCCUCCAGCUGCCUGACAGGCAGCAGGUCAGCAGCUCAACCCCACAGAAGCCAGCACCAAGUGAAGCUGAAAAAAUAAGGCCAAAAUGUGAAAAUGACCUUCAAAUUAAAUAUAUGAAAUUGGAUAUAUUCCCCAAGUCAAUCUACACAAUUGCAUUUCCAGCAUUUGUAUAAGGUACCUAAUUAACAGUGAUCCAAAAAUAGGAAUUGGAUUUGUGCAAACAUGGAGAAAUUGACUUCCAUAAAAUUUAAGUCAAAGAAAUUUUGACCCAAACCAUAUUUUUAUUCAGCUGAGAGGUGGUUGCAGCGUUUGGUUAGCAUGUCUUUCUUUUUCUUUUUCCAGUAUUCUACUUGCGUUAAUGAGAACAGAAACGUAAACUAUAACCUAGGGGUUUCUGUUGGAUGGUUGGCAACUAAGAAUGGAGGAAGAACAACAAAGACAUGUUCUCCACUUUCUUAUUUCUCAAAACAAUGUUAUCUUCGUCUUUUUAAUCUUAGGUUUUUAACAGAUUAAACCUUUAAAGCAAGAAGUGAAUUCUGUCUUUUCAGACCCAGAAAUACACAUGAAUACUUUGCUAUGAUUACAUUUUAGAUA
rnacentral:lncRNA from 1 species